UGAGGGAAAGGCGAAAAGAACCCCUGUGAGGGGAGUGAAAUAGAACCUGAAACCGUAUACGUACAAGCAGUGGGAGCCCCAUCACUAAGUGCCUUUAGUGAUGUGACUCACAAAGUGCAACCGUUUGAUAAGCGCGUAACGUUGACCUGCGAAGCAGCCAACGGUAAACCGCCAAAAAUCAAGCAGGGUGCUUAGUGAUGGGGUGACUGCGUACCUUUUGUAUAAUGGGUCAGCGACUUAUAUUUAGUAGCAAGGUUAAGCGAAUAGCGGAGCCGUAGC
rnacentral:rRNA from 1 species